rfam:Rhodobacter capsulatus SB 1003, complete genome.
UCACCACUCCAACGGCUUCCUGGCGGGGUGGGAACACAUCAAUGGAGCA